rnacentral:piRNA from 2 species
UAGCACUCUGGACUCUGAAUCCA